GCCAACUUUCGCCAGAGUACAUCUGAGGUUUGAAACGUUCUUGCAUCUAGCACACGGCCUGGUGAGCCGGUAGUGAACUCGGAGGUUUUUGUUUGUACCUGAAACUUAAGGCUCCACUUCAGCUCAGUUAUACUGUGUUCAGGGGAAACCUGGAGCCAGUGAACCAGUACACUGCCAAUGAUGAGGCACGGAGGGCCAUCUCCGCCACUGAAGCCAUUCUGAACAACUGCUUCAUCAGAGUGUACUGGCACACGUCCAACACACAAGAGCAGGGACCCAGUCAGGGCUUGGACCCUGAUGAGGAGAUCAAGAGGCCUGGACAGAUGUUGACCUGCAGAACACCACACUGAGCAGACUUGUGCCACAGUUUUGCAUAAAAUAGAGCAUGAAGAGACAGGACAUGGACCACAGCCCUAGUUUUUAUGCACCCACACACACAUUCAGAUAAGAUUUCUCACUGAUUAAAUGUUCAUAUGAAAGUUUGUUACGUUUUGGUGGUCAAGUUAUAAUUCACUGUCAUAAAUCUAAAUGAAGGGUUUGGUUCCAAAAUGAGAUAACUAAGUUUUAAUUUUUUUUCAAAAAUGUUUUUUUUAUUGAGCAUUCCAAUUAAUAUAAAUCAAAGUGCAGCUGCUUUGUUUUGAUUUAAGCUAUGAUAACUAAAAAAGUACAGCUAACUAACACAAAAACAUGAUAACAUAAUAAAAAAAAGAUUUUUGAAAAAUUGAGUUUUAAAACUCAAUGUUAAUGAGUUUUUAAAAAGCUUUUAUAAUUAAAAUACCUGUUGAUUGCACAUGUAACUGUUGUAUACUUUUUUGUUCCUGGAAUGAUGUUAAUA